GCCCUUGUAGUGAAAUGGAUAUCACGACAGGCUUCGAACCUGUUAUUAGAGGUUCAAAUCCUCUCGAGGGCA
rnacentral:tRNA from 1 species